rnacentral:rRNA from 1 species
CCUACGGGCGGCAGCAGUGAGGAAUAUUGGUCAAUGGACGCAAGUCUGAACCAGCCAUGUCGCGUGAAGGAAGACUGCUCUAUGAGUUGUAAACUUCUUUUGUACGGGGGUAAACGCAUCUACGCGUGUGUGUUUGAAAGUAUCGUACGAAUAAGGAUCGGCUAACUCCGUGCCAGCAGCCGCGGUAAUACGGAGGAUUCCAGCGUUAUCCGGAUUUAUUGGGUUUAAAGGGUGCGUAGGCGGAUGGUUAAGUUAGUGGUGAAAUCCCGAGGCUCAACUUCGGAAUUGCAGUUGAUACUGUCCGGCUAGAGAGUAGUAGAGGUAGGCGGAAUGUGUGGUGUAGCGGUGAAAUGCUUAGAGAUCAUACAGAACACCGAUUGCGAAGGCAGCUUACCAAGCUACAUCUGACGUUGAGGCACGAAAGCGUGGGGAGCAAACAGGAUUAGAUACCCGGGUAGUC